CUUCACUACUCAAAUGUAUCUUAUAAACCACUUCCAGGCGACACACUAAAAUUCGUCAAGUGUAGACACCGUUUCUCACUUCAGUCUUCUACUAAAAAAUACCAACAACACUUUGUCACCUAACAAGACCCUUUCCUUUGCAUUCAAAUUUCUGUGCAAUAUGGUUCCAACCCAUGUCAAUCCUUAUUUCCUAGUAUUUUUAAUAUUCAACAUCAUUAAAAUAAAUGAUUAAAAUAUUUAUUAUUUGAAUGCUUCAUUUUUAAUAUUUCCUUUUUAUUUCUGACAAGUGUGCCCUUCUUUGAAGACUUUCUCUACUUCAUUUCCAUGUGAUUCUGGUGGGCUACCAAUCAGAAGACAAUGGACUUCUGACAAGAGGAGUGCCACAUGGCCCAAGUUAGGCCACCCAGAGUUUCCUUCCCAGGAGGCGUGUCCCGAGAAUGCAAGGGCAGAGAGGGACCAAAAAUGAUUGGAACUGAGGCCUGGGAAUUAGAGUCCACAUAAGUUUGAGCCAGCUAUUCAUAUACGAAGGACCACCUUUGAACCCACCAAACAUGGAGCUUUGACACUACAGAGACUCCUAGCCUUGGAUGAAGCAAGUGGAAUGUACCAACCUGGACUAAACCAGCCAGCCCGCUUUGAUUUCCCUGUAGGUUCCUGAAGGCUUUGCAUCAGGACCGAGCUGGCUGGAGUCACGGAGAGCAUGCAGAGUUAUCUCUGCUAGCAGCACUUGUCACCAGGACACCGGCGCCAUGGAUCCUGGGGAAGCACCAGCAUCUCUACGAAUCUCACAGUGGAGAGAAGCCUUCCUUGAUGCUAAUUAUUACAUAGCUGUUUUGUGUGUGCACAGCUAAUGAGCCUCUGAGCAUGGAAUUUGCCAAGGGAGAUGGAAGCAGACACAUAGCAUGAAGUAAACUCGACAAACAUUUAUAGUUCCUGGUCCUCACGUCUGUCCCAGCCAUUAGAAACAAAAUUUUUUUAAUAAGGAUGGGAGUAAAACACCCAGGUGACUCUUCUUCCAGAUGGAAUAGCAUAAAUUAAACGUGGUGGACCACACAUGUAAUAGACUCUCAGCUCCACAGCCUCCUUAUGACAUUGCGAGCAACACAGAAAAG